rnacentral:misc_RNA from 1 species
GGAAGUAAAGUCGUAACAAGGUUUCCGUAGGUGAACCUGCGGAAGGAUCAUUGUUGAAUGAAACACUUCUGGCUUUAUGCUGUUGUGCUGGCCCUUUGGGCAAUGUGCACACGGCUCUGGUCACUUGUUUCUUCUGUUCCACCUGUGCACUGCCUGUAGACACGCUGUGUCUAUGAUAUUUGUUAACACACAACAAUGUUAGUUGGCAUGUUAUAUAUAAUAAUAAAAUAUACAACUCUCAACAACGGAUCUCUUGGCUCUC